UACGGAGGGUGCGAGCGUUGUCCGGAAUCAUUGGGCGUAAAGGGCGCGUAGGUGGCCCGGUGAGUCUUUGGUGAAAGCGCGGGGCUCAACCCUGCGUCGGCCAGGGAUACUGCCGCGGCUCGAGCACUGUAGAGGCAGGCGGAAUUCCGGGUGUAGCGGUGGAAUGCGUAGAGAUCCGGAAGAACACCGGUGGCGAAGGCGGCUCACUGGGCUCCACCUGACGCUGAGGCGCGAAAGCUAGGGGAGCAAACGGG
rnacentral:rRNA from 1 species